AACGCGAAGAACCUUACCAGGUCUUGACAUCCCCCUGACCGGAUCAGAGAUGGUCCUUUCCUUCGGGACAGGGGAGACAGGUGGUGCAUGGUUGUCGUCAGCUCGUGUCGUGAGAUGUUGGGUUAAGUCCCGCAACGAGCGCAACCCUUGAGCUUAGUUGCCAGCACGUAAAGGUGGGCACUCUAGGCUGACUGCCGGUGACAAACCGGAGGAAGGCGGGGAUGACGUCAAAUCAUCAUGCCCCUUAUGACCUGGGCUACACACGUACUACAAUGGCCGGUACAACGGGCCGCGAAGCCGCGAGGCGGAGCCAAUCCUAUCAAAGCCGGUCUCAGUUCGGAUUGCAGGCUGCAACUCGCCUGCAUGAAGUCGGAAUUGCUAGUAAUCGCGGAUCAGCAUGCCGCGGUGAAUACGUUCCCGGGCCUUGUACACACCGUAGUAC
rnacentral:rRNA from 1 species